GACGAACGCUGGCGGCGUGCUUAACACAUGCAAGUCGAACGGAAAGGCCCAGCUUUCGUGGGGUGUUCGUGUGGAGAACGGGUGUGUAACAUGUGUGUAACCUGCCUUUCUCUUUGGGAUAACCUCAGGAAUCUGGGGCUAAUACCGGAUAGGCGCCUCUGCCGCAUGGUGGGGGUUGGAAAUUUUUCGCGGUUGGGGAUGGACUCGCGGCUUAUCAGCUUGUUGGUGGGGUAGUGGCUCACCAAGGCCUUGACGGGUAGCCGGCCUGAGAGGGUGACCGGCCACAUUGGGACUGAGAUACGGCCCAGACUCCUACGGGAGGCAGCAGUGGGGAAUAUUGCACAAUGGGCGGAAGCCUGAUGCAGCAACGCCGCGUGCGGGAUGACGGCCUUCGGGUUGUAAACCGCUUUCGGCAGGGACGAAGCGAAAGUGACGGUAAUGGGUAAAGAAGCACCGGCUAACUACGUG
rnacentral:rRNA from 1 species